GACGAACGCUGGCGGCGUGCUUAACACAUGCAAGUCGAACGGAAAGGCCCUGCUUUUGUGGGGUGCUCGAGUGGCGAACGGGUGAGUAACACGUGAGUAACCUGCCCUUGACUUUGGGAUAACUUCAGGAAACUGGGGCUAAUCCCGGAUAGGAGCUCCUGCUGCAUGGUGGGGGUUGGAAAGUUUCGGCGGUUGGGGAUGGACUCGCGGCUUAUCAGCUUGUUGGUGGGGUAGUGGCUUACCAAGGCUUUGACGGGUAGCCGGCCUGAGAGGGUGACCGGCCACAUUGGGACUGAGAUACGGCACAGACUCCAACGGGAGGCAGCAGUGGGGAAGAUUACACAAUGGGCGGAAGCCUGAUGCAGCAACGCCGCGUGCGGGAUAACGGCCUUCGGGUUGUAAACCGCUUUCGCCUGUGACGAAGCGAGAGUGACGGUAAUGGGUAAAGAAGCACCGGCUAACUACGUG
rnacentral:rRNA from 1 species